GAUGAACGCUGGCGGCGUGCCUAAUACAUGCAAGUCGAGCGAACGGACGAGAAGCUUGCUUCUCUGAUGUUAGCGGCGGACGGGUGAGUAACACGUGGAUAACCUACCUAUAAGACUGGGAUAACUUCGGGAAACCGUAGCUAAUACCGGAUAAUAUUUUGAACCGCAUGGUUCAAAAGUGAAAGACGGUCUUGCUGUCACUUAUAGAUGGAUCCGCGCUGCAUUAGCUAGUUGGUAAGGUAACGGCUUACCAAGGCAACGAUGCAUAGCCGACCUGAGAGGGUGAUCGGCCACACUGGAACUGAGACACGGUCCAGACUCCUACGGGAAGCAGCAGUAGGGAAUCUUCCGCAAUGGGCGAAAGCCUGACGGAGCAACGCCGCGUGAGUGAUGAAGGUCUUCGGAUCGGAAAACUCUGUUAUUAGGGAAGAACAUAUGUGUAAGUAACUGUGCACAUCUUGACGGUACCUAAUCAGAAAGCCACGGCUAACUACGUG
rnacentral:rRNA from 1 species